CGUUCUCAGUUCGGAUCGGAGUCUGCAACCCGACUCCGUGAAGCCGGAUUCGCUAGUAAUCGCGCAUCAGCCAUGGCGCGGUGAAUACGUUCCCGGGCCUUGUACACACCGCCCGUCAAGCCAUGGAAGCCGGGGGCGCUUGAAGUGCGUUGCCGCAAGGCGCGCCCUAGAGCGAAACCGGUGACUGGGGCUAAGUCGUAACAAGGUACC
rnacentral:rRNA from 1 species